GAUGAACGCUAGCGGGAGGCCUAACACAUGCAAGCCGAGCGGUAUUGUUUCUUCGGAAAUGAGAGAGCGGCGUACGGGUGCGUAACACGUGUGCAACCUGCCUUUAUCUGGGGGAUAGCCUUUCGAAAGGAAGAUUAAUACUCCAUAACAUAUUGAACGGCAUCGUUUAAUAUUGAAAGCUCCGGCGGAUAGAGAUGGGCACGCGCAAGAUUAGCUAGUUGGUGAGGUAACGGCUCACCAAGGCGAUGAUCUUUAGGGGGCCUGAGAGGGUGAUCCCCCACACUGGUACUGAGACACGGACCAGACUCCUACGGGAGGCAGCAGUGAGGAAUAUUGGUCAAUGGGUGCAAGCCUGAACCAGCCAUCCCGCGUGAAGGACGACUGUCCUAUGGGUUGUAAACUUCUUUUGUAUAGGGAUAAACCUACCCUCGUGAGGGUAGCUGAAGGUACUAUACGAAUAAGCACCGGCUAACUCCGUGCCAGCCGCCGCUGUAAAAC
rnacentral:rRNA from 1 species